UACGUAGGGGGCGAGCGUUUGUCCGGAUUCAUUGGGCGUAAAGAGCUCGUAGGCGGUUCGGUAAGUCGGGUGUGAAAUCUCCGUGCUCAACACGGAGCGGCCACCUGAUACUGCCGUGACUCGAGUCCGGUAGGGAGUGUGGAAUUCCCGGUGUAGCGGUGAAAUGCGCAGAUAUCGGGAGGAACACCAGUAGCGAAGGCGGCACUCUGGGCCGUGACGUGACGCUGAGGA
rnacentral:rRNA from 1 species